CCUACGGUGGGCAGCAGUGAGGAAUAUUUGUCAAUGGGCGGGAGCCUGAACCAGCCAAGUCGCGUGAGGGACGACGGUCCUAUGGAUUGUAAACCUCUUUUGUCGGGGAACAAAGCCUUCCACGCGUCGCCGUCUGAGUGUACCCUAAGAACAAGCCCCGGCUAACUCCGUGCCCGCAGCCGCGGUACUACUGAGGGGUCGAGCGUUAUCCGGAUUUAUUGGGUGUAAAGGGUGCGUGGACGGUAGUGAAAGUCCGGAGUGAAAGGCCGGGGCUCAACCCCCGGACUGCUGUGGAAACUGUAAGGCUGGAGUGGAGGAGAGGUAAGUGGAAUUCGUAGUGUAGCGGUGAAAUGCGUAGAUAUUAGGAGGAACACCAGUGGCGAAGGCAGCUUGCUGGACUGAAACUGACGUUGAGGCUCGAAAGCGUGGGUAGCAAACAGGAUUAGAUACCCUUGUAGUC
rnacentral:rRNA from 1 species